rnacentral:rRNA from 1 species
UAUUGCACAAUGGAGGAAACUCUGAUGCAGCAACGCCGCGUGCAGGAAGACGGUCCUAUGGAUUGUAAACUGCUUUUAUACAGGAAGAAACCCUCCCACGUGUGGGAGUUUGACGGUACUGUAGGAAUAAGGAUCGGCUAACUCCGUGCCAGCAGCCGCGGUAAUACGGAGGAUCCAAGCGUUAUCCGGAAUCAUUGGGUUUAAAGGGUCCGUAGGCGGCCUUAUAAGUCAGUGGUGAAAUCUCCUAGCUCAACUAGGAAACUGCCAUUGAUACUGUAGGGCUUGAAUUAUUGUGAAGUAACUAGAAUAUGUAGUGUAGCGGUGAAAUGCUUAGAUAUUACAUGGAAUACCAAUUGCGAAGGCAGGUUACUAACAAUAUAUUGACGCUGAUGGACGAAAGCGUGGGGAGCGAACAGG